rnacentral:rRNA from 1 species
UCGAGGGGCAGCGGGGGCGUAGCAAUAUGCCUGCCGGCGACCGGCGCACGGGUGAGUAACACGUAUGUAACCUGCCCUAUGCAGGGGGAUAACCCGGAGAAAUCCGGCCUAAUACCGCGUAACACCUUUGGGGAGCAUUCCCUUGGGGUUAAAGGAGAGAUCCGGCAUAGGAUGGACAUGCGUCGCAUUAGGUAGACGGCGGGGUAACGGCCCACCGUGCCGACGAUGCGUAGGGGUUCUGAGAGGAAGGCCCCCCACACUGGUACUGAGACACGGACCAGACUCCUACGGGAGGCAGCAGUGAGGAAUAUUGGUCAAUGGCCGAGAGGCUGAACCAGCCAAGUCGCGUGAGGGAAGAAUGUCCUAAGGAUUGUAAACCUCUUUUGUCGGGGAGCAAAAAGGCUCUGCGGAGUCGUAUUGAGAGUACCCGAAGAAAAAGCAUCGGCUAACUCCGUGCCCAGCAGCCGCGGUAAUACGGAGGAUGCGAGCGUUAUCCGGAUUUAUUGGGUUUAAAGGGUGCGCAGGCGGCGUGUCAAGCAAGCGGUAAAAUAGCGGGGCUCAACCCCGUCGAGCCGUUUGAACUGGCGCGCUUGAGUUCAGGCGAGGUAGGCGGAAUUCGUGGUGUAGCGGUG